ensembl:lncRNA
AUGGCAAAAUCGGACGGACUUCUUUUCAAAUACAGAUCUCCGAUGUCCCCCUACAGUCUGCAGUUGCACGGCUGGUGGUGUGGCACAGACGGAGCAAGGGUUACAUCAAGGCUGUUCUCUGGACCGUGCAAACAGUCUAGACCAAUGACCUGCAGCAUCGUGCCCUUUGAAGAAGAGGCAAGUUCAGUCACGACGAAGAAAAAUCAAGGCGUACCCCUUUUAACAAUAGGGAGCAGCUCGUGGCUGCAAAGAGGUGUACAGCUGCCAUUCCAGGUGUGCAGCUGCCAUUCCAUCUCCCUGCAGGACUGUGUUUGCUGCUCCACAAGCUGCAGAGCAAGAGAAGCCAACUUGAGGAGCAUGCAUAUUGUGAUACCCUCAGUGGGUCAUCAGCUGUGGCAGUAG